rnacentral:sRNA from 1 species
CUGGCUCUGAAGGAGCUAGAGCCCCAGC